GCUUGAAGCGCGGGGACCAGGAGGCAGCCUCAGGGCUGAACUGGAGGCUGGAGGGACCCUGUGACCCGGGCCAUCUUCUGCGGGCACUGAAACCCUUUGGGCACUGAAAUCCUGUGGGCACAAGUAGCGCCUGCACACUAGUGACAGGCAACUUCCGCCUCCUGCGCGAGUCCAGGCUGUGGGUUCGUUAGAACGCGAGCGAGAGCUUUCGCUGACGCAUGAAACGCCUACUGUGCGCUGUGGUUAGAGCUUUGGAGCUCAUUGACUCCUCCCGGGAACCCUCGCAGCUGAGGAAACUGAGGCAGAGGCAGGUGAGUGUCCUUGCUGGGGGGUGAUAGAGCCAGAGAGCCAGCUGGCGUCUGACCCAGUGUGCUCUGCUGUGCCUCGGGACCUGGAAAUACACGACACGUGUAACAGAAUUCUGAAUCCGAAUCGCGGCUCUUCACAAGGUUACUAUAGUUACUUCUCUGCAUGACGCUCUCCUUUUUUUUGCUGGGUAACAAUGGAUCCACUGUUAACCACUAAGCUAAGGUGUUGAACCCCCACCAUCAUCACAAAACUCAAGGGACAUUAUAAUAGGUUUAAAAUAACGUUCCUGUCUUUUAAUCAUACCUUUUCAUUUCAGAAGCUCCCGGAACAUGGACAGAUCCUGCACUAUGGCAGCUUUACAAAUAUUGUUAUGUCCACCUUGCGUUAAACAUAGGAGCUCACUAACGGCGACACAACCAUAUUUCAGAGCUCUGCAAACUGUUGACAAAAGUGAUGCAUUUGGGAGGUGGGGUGGUGCAUGGGUGCCCCCUCACUAGGUAGAUGAGGGGGAUGGGCAUCCAGGCAGGAAGACAGCUGGAAAGAGUGGCCUUGAACCUGGAGAGACCCAGUCUAGGAGGGACAGGGCAGGAGGGCAGGAGGGCAGGAGCUGUGCUGUCUUUGCAGGUGAAUUUGGCUCGUGCUAAACUAGCAAACACAUGCAGACAAAGUGGUUUGGAUUAGGAAUGGGGCAGGACACCCAAGCACUAACAUGCGCACAUAUUGCCAAGCAUUUAGAGCACCGAGCUGUCAGGGAGGACGCGAACUCAGGAUCUGGAGCCGUCUCGCCUCCUCAUGCCAGUUGGCCAUGCUAUGGCGAGACAGCUUUAUUCCCUUUGACAUAUGAGGACUUGCAAGGCCUAUGACUUCCCAGAUGUGGCACCGAGACACUCCUGGGACUAAAGGCAGAAGCCAGAGCUGCUGAUUCCUGGUCAGAUCCAUUCUCUCUAAUUACAGUCAUAAUGGUGAAGGGGAUGAUGACAUCCAAGGACGACCACAGGGCCUCUCUCUCAACACUGGUGAGAAUCAGAUUCCUCCCCCUGGCUCUGUAGCUCCCAGCAGAGUUCUGGAAGCUGAUUAAAGAGAAGAUCCGAAAUAAUAGGGGCUCCCAUUUGUAUGCUCAAGAAGCUGUUUUGGAAAAAUCCUUAAAGGAACACCGACUGCUUCUUUUUGCAUUCCUGCUCUACCAAUCGCAAGACUUCCUGAGGCUGAGGGUGUGGGGUAAACCUUAGUGACCACGUCCUGUGGCCAGGGUUGGCCCAGGUGAGAAGAGACUCUGGGCGAAGACCGAGAUGCAGUUUCCUGCCAAGGAGGUCACAUUCUAGUUGGUAAUGGACAAUUUCAAAACACACUGCCAUGUUGUCAGGAGAGGCUCAUGUGAAGAGGAACUACUACUCCUCCUGAAAACUACAGGCGUGAGCUUAGAUGCGAAUCCUCCCGCCCCAGCCAAGCCUUCAGAUGACUGCAGCCCCAGCUGACAUCUAGGCUUCAAGAUCUGCUACCUACCUCAUCUACUUCCAAAUUCUUGACUCCCAGAAACCAUGAGAUAAGAGAUGUUUGUUGUUUUAUGCCCUUAAAUUUUGGGAUAAUUUAUUAUGUGGUGAUAGAGAACUGACCCAGAAGGUAAAAGCACUGAGCACAGUCCCUGGCACAUAGUUGGGGCUGUAGAAUAUGCAUCUGUAGGUCUGGAGUUGAGAGAGAAGCCUGGGCUGGAAGUAUGGGUUUGGGAACCUUUUGGCUUAGAGACAAUAAUAGAAUCCAUGGAAGUGUCUGACUCAGUCCACAGAGAGGAAGAGACAGAGA